rnacentral:rRNA from 1 species
AGUGAACGCUGGCGGCGUGCUUAACACAUGCAAGUCGAACGAGAACGGAUUAUAGCUUGCUAUAAUUGUCAGCUAAGUGGCGCACGGGUGAGUAAUGUAUAGGUAAUAUGCCUCUUACUAAGGGAUAACAAAUGGGAACGUUUGCUAAUACCUUAUACUCCUUUUAAACAGAAGUUUAAAAGGGAAAGAUUUAUUGGUAAGAGAUUAGCCUGUAUUGUAUCGGUUAGUUGGUGGGGUAAUGGCUUACCAAGACUAUGAAACAUAACUGGUUUAAGAGGAUGAUCAGUCAGACUGGAACUGAGACACGGUCCAGACUCCUACGGGAGGCAGCAGUGGGGAAUAUUGCACAAUGGACGAAAGUCUGAUGCAGCAACGCCGCGUGGAGGAUGACACAUUUCGGUGCGUAAACUCCUUUUAUAUGAGAAGAUAAUGACGGUAUUAUAUGAAUAAGCACCGGCUAACUCCGUGCCAGCCGCCGCAGUAA